GCUCAGUAAAAUGAACUCCCUGGGAGCUUGUUUUGUCGAAUUUUGCAAGCUUCUUGGGAGCUCAGCAAAAUGAACUCCCUGGGAGCUUGUUUUGUCGAAUUUUGUAAGCUUCUCGGAAACUCAAUAAAACGAACUCUCUGGAAGCUUGUUUUGUCUAAUUUUGUAAGCUUCUCGGGAGCUCAGCAAAAUGAACUCCCUGGGAACUUGUUUUGUCGAACUUUGUAAGGUUCUCGGAAACUCAACAAAAUGAACUCCCUGGAAGCUUAAUCGGAGCUUUGUGCUGUAUGGGAACAUAUAUGGACAUAUUUUUUAUAUAUUUAUAUAUGUUUUAUAUAUGAAACAUUUUUUUUUGGAGGAGGGAAGAUGGCGUGAUUGAGAGAAUUCGCGAUUUAGAAAGCUCCGGAGUGAAAAGGUGGUGAGUGGUGAAGAAGAUAAAAGUGAGAAGCAUGAGUGGAAAAUUCGGAAAGAGGAAAUUGGAGAGUGAUCGGUCAAUUGGAGGGAAAGUAAGAGAGGACGGAGGAGAGAAGAAAUGAGAAGAGAAGUUGCAGAGAAUUUCGGAUGCGAGGGAGAUUAACAUGGAGUAUAGAGGCAAUGUACGGGAAGAGGAGAUCAGGAAGAGGGCGACAGGAGAAAAAGUGAGGAUGGAAGGAAUGUGGUCUGAAGGUGUGGGGAGAUGGCGCGGUGGUGGAGCAGUGGAGAGGAAGAGCAGCGCCAUUUAGAAGAAGGAAAUGUGGACAGCAGAGACAUGGCGGGUGUUUGGCGGGAGCGUAGGAAGAUGUGAAUAAGGUUGGCAGGAGUGAAGGGGAAAGACGGUAGCGAGUUUGGGAACGCUGAGUUCCAAAACACGUGGUCCGUCGGUGAUACAUGGUUAUAGAAGCAGAGGCAGUGGCGGAAAGUCAGUGUUAGCGGCAAAAUAAGAAAUUGAGCAGAACUAAAGAAGAGAUAAAGAGGACUAAACAGGGCGAGAGAAAAGAGAGAUGGAGGAAAUUAGGAGAGAGAUGAGGAGUCUGAGAGCGAAGAUGACAAAAGGACUGAAGGAGGUUAGGGAAAAGCUGAGGUGCUUAGAGGUGAGGAUAGAAGUGUUAGAGGGAGAGGGAGAAAGAAGGGAGGAGGAAGAAGAGAGGAAGCCGAAAGGAAAGAGGAACUGGCAGGAUGACGGAGGAGGAAGCUAAGAGAACCGGAUGGUGACAAGGGAAAAGAGAAGAAGGGGUGAAGAAGACAGGAAGGGAAGAGGAAAGAGGGGUGAGGAGAGAGAGGGGAGGGAAGGAAGGAAGAAACCAAGGAGGAAGGAGAGAAGAGGGACGACAGUCAGAAGGAGACGACGAGGAGAAGAGGAGCACGGAGAAAGAAGCGGAGGGGGAUGGAGAUGGGAAAAGGGGUAGCGAGGGAAAAGGAGAGAGAGGACGGGAAGCAUGAAGAAUAGUGGAAAGGGAAAUAGAGAAGAGAAUGAAGGAGAGGGUAGAGAGGGAGGGGUGGGAAAGGGUGAAAGUGACAGAGAGGGAAAGAAGGGCGAAAGAGGUAAGGAGGAGAAACAUAAUAUGGAGGGGGGUGGAAAGGGAAGGGGGGAUAGAAAGAAGAGCGAUAAUCGAAGAUAUUAUGAAAAGGGAGAUGGGGAGAGAGGUGGAAAUGGGACAGGUAACAGAGAGGGUGGGGGAAGGGGGGAAUAGUGGUGAUAACAGAAGUGGUGCGGGAAGAGGACAGAAUGGUUACUGGAGAGGAAGGCGGAUAUCAAGAGGCGCUGGGAAGUAAGGAUAGACGAGGACCUAUCCAUGGAGGAGAGGAGAAUUAGAUGGAGGAUGCUGGAAAGGGCAAAUGAGGAGAGGAGUAAGGGAAAAAAGAUGUAUGUGGAAAAUAAGAGUAUGUGGGUGAACGGGGUGGAGUGGAUAUGGGACAAGGAAAAAGAGGUGAGAUAGGGGAAUGGGAGAGGGUAAAGGGGAAGAGAACUGAGGUGGGGAAGGAGUGAGGGAGGAAGGAGGGGGGACGAAUGGAAGAGAAACAAUAAUCAGUGUCCGAUUUAUAUUCUUAGGAGAAGACGGAGGAGAGUGGAGAGAGGAAACCACGAGAGAGAGGUGCGAGUGGAACGGAAAAGGAAGGGAGAGAGAAGGAGGAAGACAAUGGAGAGAGGAGAAAGGAAGAGAGGCCCACAGAGAGGGAGCUGGAGGAGAAGAUCGAAGGAGAUGAGGCCGAGGAAGCAACAGAGGUGUAUGGUGGACGAAGAGUUGGAAAGGAGGGCCGGAGGAAGAAGUAAAGAUGGAGGUUUGGAAGGAGAGGGAUGGGGUGGCGAGAAGGGGUGGGGGGAAAUAGAUUGUAAAAGGUCGCAUAUGGCCAGGUCGGGAAAUGAGAGUUAAUGUAUUGUAAGCGGUUUGGGAACGCUCCGCAGAGUAAAAGCGCUUUGUGACUCUGAAAAGGAAGCAAUAAAGUUCUAUUCUAUUCUAUUCUAUAUGAAACAUUUUUUUCCGGGAUUACAAGAUCGCGAAUAGAAUAAAUGUAAAAAGCGAAGGUCAUAUUUGAUCAAAGCAGGAUCUUAAUGCUUAAUAUUAAUUUAUUUACUUAUUUACUUAGGAGCAAAAGUAUGGAUAUUAAUUAUUAAUAUUAAACACCAAGAUUCUUUUUCGACCAAAUACGGUCUUCUUUCGUUCUUUAGAUAAAAUCGUUUAUUAAUAACACAAAUUUAUAUAGGUUAGGUUAUUGAAUAGUGUUUAUUAUUCUUAAUAUUUAAAUAGUAGAUCUAAUAGUAUUUAGGAAAUACAUACAUACCCAGAUGAUUGUUCUACGAUACCGUUCAUAUUUUCACAACACUUAUUUCGUUUAAAACAAAUGCAUGAAUUUGGUUAUAUGUGUUCUUUAUAAAAUUUUAAAAUCGCGCGCAAGAGCAGACUUUUUCGUGGACUUGUCACGCGAUUGGUAAAAUUUCUGUAUUUCUUAACUUUUGUCCGUGACUGUCCUUCAAUCAUUUGUGACGUCAACCGACGAUUGAAAUCCACCGACGAUUGUCGAUAGUACCCGUGUCGAAAAUAGGGUCGCAUUGUUUCUGUCGGUCGUGCAACCGAUAACCGUCGGUAACGACCGAUACCGACAGUCGUCAGUGGGCAAGUACAGAAUUGGGCCCCUGAGUUUCUGUAUUCAUGUUCGGGAGAUGAGCGGCUCCUAAGAACUCAUGGUAAAAACGGAGAAUUCUUCAUCCUGCUCUCACCGACUUGAAUGGGAAGGAAAUGAAUGGAGUAGAACCGAAAAUGUUUAAUUAAGGUAGAGAACUCUUUACCCCGAUUUCUACUCCGGAAUGCUUUUUGGAUUCGGUAUCCAGCGGAUCGAAUUGCUAGAUGCCAGCGAAAAAAAGUGUCUUCUUUGAUCUUUAUGUGGUUUUUUAUAUUUCUCCAAGCGGAGGCUCGGCAUUCUUCGACUGUGUCCGGUAGAAUUCGGAUUUUAGCCUCUUGACUCGGGAUUCUAGACGGGAGCGCGCGUACGUAUUGCCUGCGAGUGGUAUUCUUGGUGCUAACGGUUUUAUUUUGGAGCGUUUAAUACUUGUUGUUUAGUGCUUGCUGACGGGGCUCUGUUAUAAGUUUCAAAACUACCAUUUGACUAUUUAUUUAAAAAUCUAAAAAGUAUAUCAAAUAUAAUUCAAAUCUUUAAGGUUAAUUUCGAACUUUGAAGUUUACUUUGAACUUUGAAACUUCGAAACUUCAAUUUUUUUUUAAUUUCGACUAUUUGAAAUUGACAAAAGUAACAGACCUAAUAUAAAAUGUAAGAAACAGAUUCAAAGUUUUAUAACUUAAAAGUUUUUCAAAUCUUUAAAUAUUUAAAAUUGUCAAAAGUACUCAAGUAGAGAAAAAUGCCAUUUAUAAGUCAAGAUGACAUAAAAAUAUAGUCAUUUGUAAAAAAUCAAAAUGAUAUUAUUUAAUACUUUCAUUGAAUAAUAAUGACUUUAAUAUGACUAUAUUUUGACUUUUUAAUGACUUUCGCUGAGAAAACGCAAAUUGCUUGUGUAUACAAAAUGAUUAAAAUCUUGUGUAUUGUAGAUUUACCGACAAUAUUUACCGGUUUCAUGAUGUAAUAGCUUCACUUACAAUUAGUCGAUGCAAUUAAUUGCAAUGUGAAGUUAUAAAUGUUCAUACACAUUUAUAUUUGCAUUCACAUAUGUAUUCGGAUGCACGUAUAUUAAGGAAAAAUUCUAUGUCGUACAAGAAAGACUGUUUAAUUUCCGUUAUAAAUUUGCACGUAAUUAAACGUAAUUUUGCUCAAUUCGAUUCAUGAACACUCAUACGUGAAUAGACACGACACCCGGAUAACGACGGCGCCGCGACACUCACUUUUCUUUUGCUUCUAGAAGUCUGUGCAAAAGGCGCUGCACAAUAUGCAAGUCAUAUUCUUAUCAUGAUAAUAUCAUUUUUAAAAAGGUUAUUUUGAAUUUAUAUACUACUAUUUAAAACCUAACAUUUAAGUACGAAUGUCGGAAGUAGACUAAAUUUAAAUUAUCGCAAACUAUAAUAUUUAAACAGUAUAUCUAAAUUUUAAAAUUAUAAUUUGAUCACUUUUUGAUCAAGAUUCAAAUGUGACUGCUGAUAAUUAUAAUGAAAUCAUUAUGAUGUUAUUGUGAUAUUAUAGUGAUUUUUUGUUCUACUUAGGUAAGAACUUUAAUAUAAAAUAUAUAAAAAGAAAUAGGUGAACAUUGUGUGAGAUGUAUACAAAAAUUUGUUGCAAUAUUUAAGAUGCAUAAUUUCUUAUGAAACAAAGGAGAAUGUUAAAAAAGUCUGAUUUUUAGCCCACCAAAGAAACUUUAGUUCAGUGCAUUAAUUUGUUUAAUGGGACUUAUUACAAUGGGAAUGCAUGAAUAUAAAAUUAUCAUUCAAAUAUUUUAUCAAAAUAAAUCCAUUGAUUAAAUGAAAAAAUCUAAGAUGGCUGAUUCAAAAUAUUUGUACUUGAGUAAAAUCACAUAAUUUAUUUUAUAAAAGAAAAAAUUCUAAAUGUCGAAUUUAUGAAAUUAGAGAAAAUUUAUUAUUUAGAAUUUUUUUUUUGGUAUUUAAAAUAGUGACUCCAAGAUGAUAGUAUUUAUAUCACAAUAAAAUUUCAUAUUUAAACGUUGAUAAUAAGAAUAUUUGGCGAUUAUAAAUCUCUGUUGCGUUAAUUGCAGCAUAUAUUCAAAUGCUAUUUUAACUCUUAGAAUACGAACUAUAAAAAAGUUACGAUUUGUAUGAAUUUGGGUUGGCGUAACCCACAAACUUUGUUGGCUCAUAUCUCCGAAUAAAUUCAAUCAAUUUCAAUGUUUUUUUUCAAUCAAAAUGAGAAAGACUCAGGAUUAUGAUGGUCUGGUUGAAAAAUCAAAGAUAUUAAAAGAACAUAAAUUUUUUUAAAUAAAUGAGAAAGAAAAAAA